rnacentral:rRNA from 1 species
CUUGGUGAUUCAUGAUAACUUCUCGAAUCGCAUGGCCUUGCGCCGGCGAUGGUUCAUUCAAAUUUCUUCCCUAUCAACUUUCGAUGUUUGGGUAUUGGCCAAACAUGGUUGCAACGGGUAACGGAGGGUUAGGGCUCGACCCCGGAGAAGGAGCCUGAGAAACGGCUACUACAUCCAAGGAAGGCAGCAGGCGCGCAAAUUACCCAAUCCCGACUCGGGGAGGUAGUGACAAUAAAUACUGAUACAGGGCUCUUUAGGGUCUUGUAAUUGGAAUGAGUACAAUUUAAAUCCCUUAACGAGGAACAAUUGGAGGGCAAGUCUGGUGCCAGCAGCCGCGGUAAUUCCAGCUCCAAUAGCGUAUAUUAAAGUUGUUGUGGUUAAAAAGCUCGUAGUUGAACCUUGGCCUCGGCCGGCCGGUCCGCCUCACCGCGUGCACUGGCUCGGCCGGGGCUUUCCCUCUGUGGAACCCCAUGCCCUUCACUGGGCGUGGCGGGGAACCAG